CCCCUUUCAGGAUUGCACCUGGAGAGUUUCCAGUACGUUACCAGUCUUGGCUGUGGGAGGAAGAGCCAAACAGAGGCAUACUCAUUCCAUUCCUAGCUUGGGCAGUGGCUAGCGAGUGGAAGGCAAUCUGAUACAAGU
rfam:Ornithorhynchus anatinus chromosome 1, whole genome shotgun sequence.